GUUGAAACACCGGUUUCCAUACGAUCGCUGAAGUUAAGCAACGCCGAGCCUGGUCAGUACCUAGCUGGGUAACUACUUGAGAAUACCAGGUACUGUAAG